UACGGAGGGUGCAAACGUUGCUCGGAAUCAUUGGGCGUAAAGCGCACGUAGGCGGCUCGUUAAGUCGGAUGUGAAAGCCCUGGGCUCAACCCAGGAAGUGCAUUCGAAACUGGCGAGCUUGAAUAUGGAAGAGGGUCGCGGAAUUCCCAGUGUAGAGGUGAAAUUCGUAGAUAUUGGGAAGAACACCGGUGGCGAAGGCGGCUCACUGGCUCGUAACUGACGCUCAGGCGCGACAGCGUGGGGAUCAAACAGG
rnacentral:rRNA from 1 species